rnacentral:rRNA from 1 species
GACGAACGCUGGCGGCGUGCUUAACACAUGCAAGUCGAACGAAGUGGCGAACGGGUGAGUAACGCGUAAUCAACCUGCUCUUCAGAGGGUGAUAACAGUUGGAAACGACUGCUAAUACCGCAUACUGAAGGAGGGGAUUGCGUCUGAUUAGCUAGUUGGUGGGGUAACGGCCCACCAAGGCGAUGCUCAGGAGCCGGUGUGGAGGGAUGAACGGCCACAUUGGGACGUGAAAACGGCCCAGACUCCCACGGGAGGGAGCAGGGGGGAAACUUCCGCAAUUGACGGAAGGCUGACGGAGCAACGCCGGGGGAGGUGUGACGGCCUUCGGGUUGUAAAACUCUGUUAAUCGGGACGCGGUACCGGAAUAGAAAGCCACGGCUAACUACGUGCCAGCCGCCGCGGUAAUAC